CGCUCUCUCUCUCUCAAUAAUUUUAGCUGAUAAUAUAAUUUCUUAUUGCCUGAAAACUUGAUUAGAUAGUUUAAUCUGGAUCAAGAUCAAUCAGUUAUAACUACAGAUAUCAAUCAAUCUGUUUGAAUCAUCUUGUCCUUUAUUUUUAUACUUUCCGAGGUCAUGAUUGUUUUAAUGAAGGGAUAGGGCUCCAUGAUGAUCAAUUUAUGACUUUAUUUUUUAUUUUUUAAAUGGAUCAUAACCUGACUCUCUUUUAACUUAUGGAAGUUUCAUCUGUUGUAUUUAUAUUUUUUACACCAGGUUGAAGAAAUUGUUUUCCUUUGAUGGAAAAAUCUUCCAUGACUGCAAGGCAUGGCUUAUUUUUUUAUAUUCGGGGAAUGCUUGAGUGUUAUCGGUUUCGUGGAGUUUUUGUAUUGUUAUUUUGGUUUCUACUGAUGUGGCCGUUGUAUUUUUUUUAUUCAACAAGAUUGUUAAAUUGAAGCAGUGGUAGUGGUUGUGAAAGAAGGAAAAUCAGAUGGUUGGAUUCAACCCUCUUCGUCGAGCAGCGGUAGGAAAUGUGAGGACGCAGCCCUGCCCUGCACACAUUUUGUUGAAGCAAGAAAAUCCUAGUCUUUCUCCCAAUCAAUUGUUGUUUAGGCUUUUUUUUUUUUUUUUUUGCUUUAAAUGGGAUUUAAUUGUGUUGGUGCCGCGUAGAAAGCAGCUCCACUCUUGGGACUGUGGCCGGCUUGUGUUUUGAUGAGAUUGAAUGCUACUGGCAUCAAUAAUUGCAGCAUUCAGGCCUUGGCAGGCUUAGGCUGCACUAAUAGGCCAGGCUCUUCCUUGCUUCUUGGGAAAUUUGGUGUUGUUCUUCCUCUGAACAUGUUAUAGCUUUAACUGCCAUACAAGGAAAUUACUUGAUCAUCUCGUGAAGGUGCUGACUGCUUCGGACAGCAUUUUUCCAAGUUGGAAAUUGUGGCUCCAAUUCCAUAUCUUGAUGUUCAAAGGCGGUAGAUCUGGCAUAUUUACUGCAGAAGUAUUCUGUUAGUUCUUCCCACUACACAGUAACACCCGGAGCAAAUCCAAACUAUUCAGUUGAGACAUUUUACAAGGUGAUAUUACAUGAUUUUGUUUCAAUUAUCUAUAUGCAUUGCUAUAGGGAAUUUUGAUGAAUUCUUGCAUUAUGCUUCUGUUUAUUUUGAUUGACCGAUGAUGUUUCCUGUGUUGUCUGAUUGUCAUUGUAACACUCAUAAGGUUUGGUUUAAAUUCAUGAAUGAACAACUGCCCACGGAUCUAGUGCAACUGGAUGUGUUAUUUCAAAAAGCACGAGUAGAAGGCAUUAAUAUACAGGUGUACGUCAUUCAUCUAUAAGCAUGUAAUUCAUAGUCAUCUAUCAUCAAGUGUUUUCUUCGUUUUGCAUGCUGGUUUUGUGUAGUUAAUAUGAUUAGUUUGUGCUGACAGCAAACUCAAAACUUACUAUUAUGAUGAUCUAAUCAUUUUUCAUUUCACUUAAAAGCCUUAUAUUCAUACACCCGCCACUAUAUCUACCUUUGUAAAUUUUAUGUCUUUUUUCAUGUCGAUAAUGUUUACGAACCUUUUCCUUUCUACAGUGCUGGUCAAUCAAUGAAAAGGAAAUUUCUCCUCAUAUUGUCGGGGAAUUAUUUUUCAAUAGCAUUGGUUAACCAGUACAAAUUGAGGUGUGGAUCUCGUUUAACAUCACAUUUCUUAUUAUUCUUUCUGGAAUUACUUUCUCCUUUAACUGUCAUGCGGCCAUUUUCUAACUGUCUUGUUUCUUGUAUGUUUUUCACUCCUUCAUGUGGUUUUGAAUUAACAUAUUCUAACAGAUGACCCUAUAGGAGAGGGGAAAAAACGCGGAAAAACUUAAUGUUAACUGUUUCUGGCAAAACAUCAUGUCACAGUCACUGUUGGUUGGAGGAUGUUAUUCAACUUAUUCUACCAGGCUUAACUGGUGGCAACUCAGGCUAUGCUGAAAAUCAUUGUCAUUCUUUGUAACGGAUAAACCUGUGAAAAAUAGUCACAGCUCAUGGCAUAGGCACGGCAGGUUAGAUCUUAUGCAUGUUGAUAUAAUUUUUAUGGGGAUGAAAAUUAUUUAUGACAGGGUGUGUUUGCAAUCAGAUGUUAAGAUGCUCGAGUUACCCAUUUUAGAUAUAGGGUAAGCUAUAGGAUGGCUUAUUUACUUCAUUUGAAUCUCAGUAAUGAUUGAGUUCUAGAAAGAUUAUGGCUCGUGAUCAGAUUGAAACAAAUCAUGAGGAUUUUUUGUGAUUUAUUUAUGCAUUAGGUCAUUACAUCGUGAUAUGUGGCUAUGAAGCUGGCCUAGAUGAGUUUGAGAUUUGGAAUCCUGCCACUUCUAUGAUUUACCUUUGAUUUCUAAUUUGUUUCAUAUUAAUUUUUUUUUGUAUUUAAAGUAAUUUAAUUUUUUGAUGUGAAAAAUAAAUUUUAAAAAAUAAAAAAUAUUAUUUUAAUAUAUUUUUAAUAAAAAUACUUUGAAAAUACAUUCUAGUUUCUGUUCUGAUUAUCAUAUCCGAUUUAGGAAAUAUCUUUUUAGAUGAGCAAAAUAUAGUCUUUUCCGCAUUUUGCAGAGGCCAUUGCCUAGUCAGGGCCCACCAAAAUGGGGUCCUAAGUGGGAAAAUUCGGAGAUAGUUUAAGUGGGGUCCCGCUCUUUUGCAUUUCUGCACGAUUCUUCGAGAAUCAAACCUGCAAUAUGGUGGCUGAAAGCACAAGAAACCACCGAGUUAGGAAUUACUUGCCCCUAAGAAUACUUCAUAGUCAGCCAUGGAUGUGCCAGGAAAAGAUGUGGCCCUAAUAUGAUGCCAAAAUUAGCAUAUGGAAGAAUAUAUCAUCUGAUUUUGUAAAAUCUAGUAAAGAAAUAAUAUAUUAUUUUAACUAACGUCCAGUUCUGUUUAGACGAGUUUAGUUGUGGAUAAUCAACAAAUGAUACCACAGAAAAAGAUUAACAUGUUACUAAAAUUUGUGCGGGAUUCGAUCCAUCUGAAAUACCACCUUGUAUACCUCCCCUGUGCAGCAUCGAGCCAUCCAUGGAGCACUAUUAGAAGACUGGGAAAAUGCGACAUUCGUUGCAACAACGUUCGUGAUUUUGUAAAUUAGUGCCUGGUAUCUCUGGGUUUUGACCCCGUUCAGCUAGAUCAUGAAAUUAGAGCUAUAAUCUUGGUCAUUUAUGAUCUGAUAGAGCUACUGAAAUUUUACUUUUACUUUUUUGUAAAUUUGAAAUUGUGUGCUUCCUAAUGACUUUAUGAUUGAGCAAUAAAUUUGAAUGCAGGAAAUAUGAGAGGAUAUCGUCAAAAUGCCAUGAAGAAGCACGCGAAUCCUUUGGCACCGAAGGAGAUCUUCUUCUGAUAAACAAACAUCAUCAAAUGUCUUGUAUUGUGCAUGCAUUUGAAGAUGCAAGAUUUGUAUGGUAUAGAGUUAAUUCAUCAUCCCAGCCAAAGAGGGUCUCUGAAGAAAAUUCAGAAACUCCCUUCAGCAUUCUCGCUUUUCAAGUGAUCAGUCUCAAGUCUCUAAUCUAGAACCUUGCAAGCCCUUGCUUCUACUGUCCUGUGAUAAGAUCAUGGAAAUCCAAUUCAUCAAGUUUUAUAGCUCUGCUCUUUUAACACUAGCAUUGUAAUUUAGCUACUAGUAUCAUUUUAAAAACUAAAAAGUGAAUCUGCUAUCAUAUAUUUUGCAUAAAGUGGUAUCCACUAGUGUUUUGGAGCAUGUAAUUGUUUGUGGUUAUGGGUCUAAUUUAACCUUGAGUCCAUUUUAGACAUAGAAGUUGAAGGAGUCUGAAGCAGACAAAACAAACUUCUUGUUCCAAAAAACAAAUUCAUCACCAGCUUUGCUAAUUAUCACCUUUUGCUGUUGAUUUUUCCAUUCAGAUCUCCCUGGAGAAUGCAAUGAGCGAAAGAGCUGCAUUUGAUGAUUUUCCUUGCUUCGGAUUGGCUAGCUCCAUGUAUAUUAUUAUACGUGUGUAUAACAUGAGCUUAAAGAAACUAAUAGUUUGCUCUUGAUUUCUUGCAUUUGUUCAUAAAUAUUUUUUCAAGCUAUAUUUUGAGCAUGGAUAUUAUUCUUGUAUGCUUGACUGGAUAAAUUAAAUCCCAGAAGCUUCUCAUUAUCUUAACCCGUGUUUCCAUUUUGUAAUUUAGAAAAAUUCCUACCUGAUGCCCCCCUUCUAUUUCGUUAAUCGUGUACUUAUUUACUAUGACUUGUGAUUGGUUUAAAACAGUUUGGACGUGACUAUUCUCCAAAAUUCAAGAUGUCCCAACUGGAUGAAACUGGGUUUUGUAGCUUGCAGGCUCGCCCUUUUCGUUUCUUGACGUUGCUUGCUAGUUCCCCAAACAGCUUGAGCAGCUAGGAAGUGCGUGCUGGCCUUAAAUGCGAUAUUUGUGACCCUCAUCUUUGAGAGCUCGUGACGGGCUUAAAUGCAUUGGUUGCGCAUGUAAAUCGACAAGCAAGUUUGGUGCACGGUGCAGUUAUGAACCAUCCAAAGGUUAGACUUCUAGUUGGCUAGUAUUCAUAAAAGAAGGUGAAUUCAGAUGGAUCAUUAGGAAUAAAUAAGCUUAUGCUUCUUGCUAAAUAAACUCAAUCUAUUAACAAUAGAAACCAAUUGCGCAA